UACGUAGGUGGCAAGCGUUGUCCGGAUUUACUGGGCGUAAAGAGCGCGCAGGCGGUCGUUCAAGUCGCGUGUGAAAGCCCCCGGCUCAACUGGGGAGGGUCACGCGAUACUGAUCGACUGGAAGGCAGGAGAGGGUAGUGGAAUUCCCGGUGUAGUGGUGAAAUGCGUAGAUAUCAGGAAGAACACCCGUGGCGAAGGCGGAUCUCUGGGACGGUAAUGACGCUGAGACGCGAAAGCGUGGGGAGCAAACAGG
rnacentral:rRNA from 1 species